CUCAAUGAAUUUUAUAUAGCCGCAAUAUUGUGCUAAGGUAGCAUAAUCAUUUGUUUUUUAAUUGAAAACUAGAACGAAAGAUUUAACAUUUUAAUUUCUUUCUUACAUAUAAUAAUUAAAAUUAUUUUAAAUAUAAAAAAAUAUUUAUUUAUCAAAAAGACGAUAAGACCCUAUUGAACUUCACUAAAGUUUAACUGGGGUAGUUAAUCAAAUAUUAUUUUAAUUUAAUUUUUAAAAAUAACUAAUAAAAUUAAAAUAAUCAAGUUACCAUAGGGAUAACAGCGUAAUAAAUUUCACAAGAUCUUAUUCAAAAAUUUGCUUACGACCUCGAUGUUGAAUUAAUAAUCUAUUAAAUGCAAUAAUUUAAUAAAGAAAGUCUGUUCGACUU
rnacentral:rRNA from 1 species